rnacentral:rRNA from 1 species
GACGAACGCUGGCGGCGUGCUUAACACAUGCAAGUCGAACGGAAAGGCCCUGCUUUUGUGGGGUGCUCGAGUGGCGAACGGGUGAGUAACACGCGAGUAACCUGCCCCUGACUUUGGGAUAACUUUAGGAAACUGGGGCUAAUACCGGAUAGGAGCUCUUGCUGCACGGUGGGGGUUGGAAAGUUUCGGCGGUUGGGGCUGGACUCGCGGCUUAUCCGCUUGUUAGUCGGGUAGUGGCUUACCAAGGUUUCGACGGGUAGCCGGCCUGGGAGGGUGACCGGCGACAUGAGUACUAAGAGACGGCGCAGACGCCAACGGGAGGCAACAGUGGGGAAUAUUGCGCAGUGGGCGGAAGCCUGAGGCAGCAACGCCGCGUGCGGGAUGACGGCCUACGGGUUGUAAACCACUUUCGCCUGUGACGAAGCGGGAGUGACGGUAAUGGGUAAGGAAGCACCGGCUAACUACGUG